rnacentral:rRNA from 1 species
UACGUAGGGUGCAAGCGUUGUCCGGAAUUAUUGGGCGUAAAGGGCUCGUAGGCGGUCCAUCGCGUCGGGAGUGAAAAGCUGGGGCUCAACCCCAGUCCUGCUUUCGAUACGGGUGGACUAGAGGUAGGCAGGGGAGAACGGAAUUCCUGGUGUAGCGGUGAAAUGCGCAGAUAUCAGGAGGAACACCGGUGGCGAAGGCGGUUCUCUGGGCCUUACCUGACGCUGAGACGCGAAAGCGUGGGGAGCGAACCGG